ACCGUACUUCGUAAGAAUAUUCAUCUCUACAGCAUCCCUAAUACCAUGAAUCCUUGAGCACUUGUAGAACAUGUGUCUACUUGUCUCAGUUACUAAUCCUCAGUAGGAGUCAUUCCUCUUCCUUUUCUAUCUGUGAGUUACUUAUUUAGAAAUAAUGAGUUGGUAGACAUUCGAUACGAGAACCAUUUUUUGCUGGACUCCAUGAAUUGAUUUUUUCUGGACACGUAUUCACAAAUUUUCCCCAGAGCGCGUUGUCCACUGAUCUACGUCGGUUUAUAAAGGAUUUUUCAAUUGAAAUCAAACUUUUGUAGGGGAUUUCUUAUUGGACAUAAGAAAUAACUUCAAAUCAAAAACUCUAAUUAGUUUCUUAGUAAACUUUACUGUCGAAUCAUUUUCGUAUUUUUUAAAACAGCAAUUAUCUUUUCAAAUUUAUGUAUUAUUCAUUAAGAAAGAAAUCAGGUUAUGAUUAAACAAGAUCGCCGUAUUGAUUAGUAAAUGAAAAUAAUUCAAGAUAUGUUGUGAUAUAAUUUUUAUUGCAUCUAUUAAAAUUAAUGUGUACAAGUAAUAUUUUUGCUUCAUAAUGUUUUUUAAUUUAAAUUAAGAGAUAAAAAUAGGUAUUAACUGCUUUAACUUUGAAUUGCAUUUUCUUUAGUCUCACAAUGUACAUAUAUAAUUACUUGUUCAUAUGAAGAAGUUAAAUUGGAAAUAAAGUUAAAAUAAUUUUG
rnacentral:lncRNA from 1 species